AGCUCAGCAUAUACGGUUCAGUCCAAAAUUUAUCACGCCAAAUGAUGGAAAUAGACUCUGAGAAGCAUAAAGUUUCCAAGAUGAUGUUUCUUCAUUUUUCAGGAAUGCUUUCAUUCAGUUUCUUUAAGAGGCUUGAUUGUUUAGCAAAAGGCUGCUUGUUUGCUGUUAUAACUCUGCUGAAUUUAUUCAUCUUUGAAGAAGGUAAUUUGGAUAUAUUCCAGUCACUAGUUGAUCCAACUCCAGACUCCUUUUCAUAUGGAUUAUCGGCUGUUAGAAUCCAGGAGGCUGUAGUGGACAAGAGAUCUAGUCUUGUGGUUGCAUCAAAGUUUCAGAAGGCAAGGACUCUGUGUUCAAGUUCCAGAA
rnacentral:misc_RNA from 1 species